GGCUCAGUGGUUAAUACGACUGCCUGCGAUGCAGAAGGUUCCGGGUUCAAUUCCCGGUGGGUCA